CCUACGGGAGGCAGCAGUGAGGAAUAUUGGUCAAUGGGCGGGAGCCUGAACCAGCCAAGUCGCGUGAGGGAAGACGGUCCUAUGGAUUGUAAACCUCUUUAGGCGGGGAGCAAUGCCGGGCACGUGUGCCCGGAGGGAGAGUACCCGCAGAAUAAGCAUCGGCUAACUCCGUGCCAGCAGCCGCGGUAAUACGGAGGAUGCGAGCGUUAUCCGGAUUGAUUGGGUUUAAAGGGUGCGUAGGCGGAUUUUUAAGUCAGCGGUAAAAUGUCCGGGCUCAACCCGGGCCGGCCGUUGAAACUGGGGAUCUUGAGUGGGCGAGAGGUAUGCGGAAUGCGUGGUGUAGCGGUGAAAUGCAUAGAUAGCGCGCAGAACUCCGAUUGCGAAGGCAGCAUACCGGCGCCCGACUGACGCUGAGGCACGAAAGCGUGGGGAUCGAACAGGAUUAGAUACCCGGGUAGUC
rnacentral:rRNA from 1 species